rfam:Capsicum annuum cultivar Zunla-1 unplaced genomic scaffold scaffold2555, whole genome shotgun sequence
GGAGAGAUGGCUGAGUGGUUGAUAGUCCCGGUCUUGAAAACCAGUAUAGUUUGGAACAAAGAACUAUCGAGGGUUCGAAUCCAUCUCUCUCCU